GUCCUAGUUACCAGCACGUUAUGGUGGGCACUCUAAGGAGACUGCCGGUGGACAAACCGGAGGAAGGUGGGGAUGACGUCAAGUCAUCAUGGCCCUUACGGCCUGGGCUACACACGUGCUACAAUGGUCGGUACAAAGGGUUGCCAAGCCGCGAGGUGGAGCUAAUCCCAUAAAACCGAUCGUAGUCCGGAUCGCAGUCUGCAACUCGACUGCGUGAAGUCGGAAUCGCUAGUAAUCGUGAAUCAGAAUGUCACGGUGAAUACGUUCCCGGGCCUU
rnacentral:rRNA from 1 species